UGGGGAAUAUUGCACAAUGGGCGCAAGCCUGAUGCAGCAACGCCGCGUGAACGAUGAAGGUCUUCGGAUCGUAAAGUUCUGUUGCAGGGGAAGAUAAUGACGGUACCCUGUGAGGAAGCCCCGGCUAACUACGUGCCAGCAGCCGCGGUAAUACGUAGGGGGCUAGCGUUAUCCGGAUUUACUGGGCGUAAAGGGUGCGUAGGUGGUCUUUCAAGUCGGUGGUUAAAGGCUACGGCUCAACCGUAGUUAGCCUCCGAAACUGGAAGACUUGAGUGCAGGAGAGGAAAGUGGAACUCCAUGUGUAGCGGUGGAAUGCGUAGAUAUAUGGAAGAACACCAGUGGCGAAAGCGACUUUCUGGUCUGUCACUGACGCUGAGGCCCGAAAGCGUGGGUAGCAAACAGG
rnacentral:rRNA from 1 species